AAUCAACGCUGGCGGCGUGCCUAACACAUGCAAGUCGAACGCGGUUAUCUCGCAAGGGAUGACUGAGUGGCGAACGGGUGAGUAACGCGUGGGUGACCUACCUUCGAGUGGGGGAUAACGUCCCGAAAGGGACGCUAAUACCGCAUAACAUCCUGCCUUUGAAUAGGCGGAGAUCAAAGCCGGGGAUCGCAAGACCUGGCGCUGGGAGAGGGGCCCGCGUCUGAUUAGCUAGUUGGUGGGUAACGGCUCACCAAGGCGACGAUCAGUAUCCGGCCUGAGAGGGCGGACGGACACACUGGGACUGAGACACGGCCCAGACUCCUACGGGUGGCUG
rnacentral:rRNA from 1 species